UACGGGGGGGGCAAGCGUUGUUCGGAAUUACUGGGCGUAAAGGGCUCGUAGGUGGCCAACUAAGUCAGACGUGAAAUCCCUCGGCUUAACCGGGGAACUGCGUCUGAUACUGGAUGGCUUGAGUUUGGGAGAGGGACGCGGAAUUCCAGGUGUAGCGGUGAAAUGCGUAGAUAUCUGGAGGAACACCGAUAGCGAAGGCAGCUUGCUACACAAUAAUUGACGCUGAGGCACGAAAGCGUGGGGAUCAAACAGG
rnacentral:rRNA from 1 species